GUGUCAGCCGCCGCGGUAAGACGUAGGGGGCGAGCGUUGUCCGGAUUCAUUGGGCGUAAAGCGCGCGUAGGCGGCCCGGUAAGUCGGGUGUGAAAUCCUGAGGCUCAACCUCAGGACUGCAUCCGAUACUGUCGGGCUAGAGGUAGGUAGGGGAGAUCGGAAUUCCUGGUGUAGCGGUGAAAUGCGCAGAUAUCAGGAGGAACACCGGUGGCGAAGGCGGAUCUCUGGGCCUUACCUGACGCUCAGGCGCGAAAGCUAGGGGAGCAAACAGGAUUAGAAACCCUUGUAGUCC
rnacentral:rRNA from 1 species